rnacentral:rRNA from 1 species
UACGUAGGGGGCAAGCGUUGUCCGGAUUUAUUGGGUUUAAAGGGUGCGUAGGUGGUCUAUUAAGUCAGUGCUGAAAUAUCCCGGCUUAACCGGGAGGGUGGCAUUGAUACUGAUGGACUUGAGUAAAGUUGAGGUAGGCGGAAUUGACGGUGUAGCGGUGAAAUGCUUAGAUAUCGUCAAGAACACCUAUAGCGAAGGCAGCUUACUAAGCUUUAACUGACACUGAUGCACGAAAGUGUGGGGAUCAAACAGG